CUCCUACGGGAGGCAGCAGUGAGGAAUAUUGGUCAAUGGGCGGAAGCCUGAACCAGCCAUGCCGCGUGAAGGAAUAAGGUCCUAUGGAUCGUAAACUUCUUUUGAGCGGGAGCAAUAAGGUCUACGUGUAGACCGAUGAGAGUACCGUUCGAAUAAGCAUCGGCUAACUCCGUGCCAGCAGCCGCGGUAAUACGGAGGAUGCAAGCGUUAUCCGGAUUUAUUGGGUUUAAAGGGUGCGUAGGCCGUUGUGCAAGUCAGAGGUGAAAUUGUGGGGCUCAACUCCGCCGCUGCCUUUGAAACUGCAUGACUUGAAUCCUGUUGCCGUGGGAGGAAUGAGUAGUGUAGCGGUGAAAUGCAUAGAUAUUACUCAGAACCCCGAUUGCGAAGGCAUCUCACGAAACAGGGAUUGACGCUGAGGCACGAAAGCGUGGGUAUCAAACAGGAUUAGAUACCCUGGUAGUCCACGCUGUAAACGAUGAUAACUAACCGUCGGCGAUACAUAGUCGGUGGCCAAGCGAAAGCGAUAAGUUAUCCACCUGGGGAGUACGACCGCAAGGUUGAAACUCAAAGGAAUUGACGGGGGCCCGCACAAGCGGAGGAACAUGUGGUUUAAUUCGAUGAUACGCGAGGAACCUUACCCGGGCUCGAACGGCAGAGGAAGAGAAUCAGAGAUGAUGACGUCCCUUCGGGGACCUCUGUCGAGGUGCUGCAUGGUUGUCGUCAGCUCGUGUCGUGAGAUGUUGGCUCAAGUGCCAUAACGAGCGCAACCCUUGUCAUUAGUUACCAUCAGGUCAAGCUGGGGACUCUAAUGAGACUGCCACCGCAAGGUGUGAGGAAGGAGUGGAUGACGUCAAAUCAGCACGGCCCUUACGUCCGGGGCGACACACGUGUUACAAUGGUGACUACAGAGGGGUGCCAGCCGGUGACGGCGCGCAAAUCUCGAAAAGUCAUCUCAGUUCGGACUGGAGUCUGCAACCCGACUCCACGAAGCUGGAUUCGCUAGUAAUCGCGCAUCAGCCAUGGCGCGGUGAAUACGUUCCCGGGUCUUGUACACACGC
rnacentral:rRNA from 1 species